UGCAGAAUCCCGUGAACCAUCGAGUCUUUGAACGCAAGUUGCGCCCGAAGCCAUCAGGUUGAGGGCACGUCUGCCUGGGCGUCACGC
rnacentral:rRNA from 1 species